CCUACGGGGGGCUGCAGUGGGGAAUAUUGGACAAUGGGGGGAACCCUGAUCCAGCCAUGCCGCGUGUGUGAAGAAGGCCCUCGGGUUGUAAAGCACUUUCAGUGAGGAAGAACGCCUGGUGGUUAAUACCCAUCAGGAAAGACAUCACUCACAGAAGAAGCACCGGCUAACUCCGUGCCAGCAGCCGCGGGAAUACGGAGGGUGCGAGCGUUAAUCGGAAUUACUGGGCGUAAAGCGCGCGUAGGUGGCUUGAUAAGCCGGUUGUGAAAGCCCCGGGCUCAACCUGGGAACGGCAUCCGGAACUGUCAAGCUAGAGUGCAGGAGAGGAAGGUAGAAUUCCCGGUGUAGCGGUGAAAUGCGUAGAGAUCGGGAGGAAUACCAGUGGCGAAGGCGGCCUUCUGGACUGACACUGACACUGAGGUGCGAAAGCGUGGGUAGCAAACAGGAUUAGAUACCCUAGUAGUC
rnacentral:rRNA from 1 species